CACCCUACUGUGUUACUGAACACUAGAUCUUAUUCACUCUAUCUAACCGUAUUUUUGUACCAUUAACCAUCACCACUUUCUCCCCCUCUAUGCUUCUCUCCCCACUAUGCUUCCCAGCCUCUAGCAUCUAUCAUUGCACUCCCUAUCUUCACGGUUCAAUUUUGUAUAUGAACCCAUGAAGCACAUAUUGCAAAAGUUAUAUGCUUUGGAGAACAUCCUUAAAUGUUGGGAAAAAUCUCUUUACUAUUAAAGAGAAUUAAAAUUAUAAAUCUUUAAUACACAUAUACCAUAAUUGUAGCCAAAGAUUACAUCAUUCAUAUCAUUUAAUUUUUAACCAAAGCAUCCCAGAUGUUUCAGUUUCAGGAGGAUCAUUACCCAAAUAGAGUAAACUCUCUAUCUGUCAUGAUCAGGAAAAGGAAUGCGUUAGCUAAUCAUAUUCUCCUUAAUAGAUAUUCCAUACUCACCACGUUUGAAUUAACAACUUUCAAAUAAUUAGAACACAUCAAUAUACAUUUAAUAUCCAAUGACUAUGAAAACAAUCUAAUAGCUUUUUUAUGAUUCAUAAGUAGUUUUGGGAUCUUAUUACAUCAGAGGUUUAUCAAUACAGACAUCGUAAUUUAGACUUGCUAAGGAAGGCUUCUGAUUGAUCUGCUGUUAUAUCGCAGAAUAAUUAUACUGUUAUAAUAUUUUUGAACUACGUGUUUUAGAUACAAAGACUGCUGAAGAUGUUCAGGCUAUACCUUAAUUGUGUCCCACAAUCAAAAAGGAAUAGAUCAAGUGUUUGCUUAGCUUCCAAGUAGUAAACUAGUUGGUCAGGCUGUGUACUUAAGAAAUAACUGGGGGAAAAGAAAUGAACAGUAGUAGUAAACAAAUGUAAAAAUGUAAUAGGCCAGUGUUGAGUGUCUGUCAUGUGUAUCUGGCUCUUGGUUCCAUAGAAACCACCUGCAAUGUGAAGUUCCUUCAUUAGCAUCUUUGCUCACAAGAGAAGACAAGGUUGCUCUGAUAUAUUUCUUCUGAACAACUACAACUCACUUUGCGAAUACACCUGACAUGUACUCUGUAUCAUUUCAGUGCUCACCCUACCUCAUUGUCAAGGAAACAGACAUCAGCACCACUUAGAAAGUGGUAAGAAACCUGUAAAAGAACAGAAGUAUACUGUAUAUUGUGAUGGGGUAGAGUCCCUUUCUCUGAGGGACAACUUCAUGAGAUUCCAAUGUUAAUGAAUCAAACCCAAACUCACUGCAAAGGAUGAAAUCAGAGAAUGAUAGAUAAGAUGCUAUAAACAAUGCUCACUGAUGGCAAAAUAAUAACAAGGGUGAGCUGGCCUUACAUUUACAGAUAGGUUUAUUAACUAAUAUACCCAUUAUACACAACAUAUAGUAUGCUAUGUUCACAUAGUGAAAAUUGUAAAACUGGCUUAAUUCAGUUAGUCAUUGUUUUGAAAAACUUAAUAACUAAAAUCAAGUAUAUAAGCAAUUGACUGCAUGCAACUAAUUUAUUUCAAUUUAGAAAUUCAUUUACUUGGGGGAUAUGUUUUUGUUCAAGUCAAUAUAUUGAAGUGAUUAAGGGCUCAGGUUCUAAAGUCAAUUAUCCUUGUAAUCAAAUUGCAACUAACUUCCAAAGGGAGAAAAAAAAGAUGGCAUGUUCAGAGUAGAUAAACUGGAAAUAAUUUAAGGAAGGAAUUGUUUGCAGAGGUGUUGGGAAGAUUGAGAAAAACAAGAGAUGGUGAAAAAACAAGGGGCUAGCAAAAAUGGGAAGCCAUUGGCCAGGUGCAGUGGCUCACGCCUGUAAUCCCAGCACUUUGGGAGGUCGAGGCAGGCAGAUCACCUGAGGUCAGGGCAGCCUGGCCAACAUGGCAAAACCCUGUCUCUAUCAAAAACACAGAAAUUAGCCGGGCAUGUGGCAGAUGCCUGUAAUCCCAGCUACUUGGGAGGCUGAGGCAAGAGAACUGCUUGAAGCCGGGAGGUGGAGGUUGCAGUAAGCUGAUAUCACGCCAUUGCACUCUAGCCUGGGUGACAAGAGCAAAACUCCGUCUCAAAAAAAAAAAAGGGAAGCAGCCAUUAUGACCCGCCAAGAACUCAAGAAACAGUGUUACCAGAAUGUGGUAUGGAAGUGGAAUGGGCACCAGUAAGAGCUAUGGUUGUACAGGGGAAAAGACCCUCCCUAGCAAGGCAGGAAAGGAACAGGAAGUGGCAGUAGGAUAGGGGAAAAUCUUUCCUUUUCUUUCUUCUUUCACCAUUAAGACCCUGUUAAUAUGUUGCAGUGAGCUAUGAUUGCGUCACUACACUCCAGCAUGGAUGACAGAGCAAGACUUUGUCUCUAAAUAAUAAUAAUAAUAGUAAUAAAUAAAAUAAAUUAUUGCUAAUAGUAUUAUGGAUAUUGUAGAAAUGGCAUGUGAAAGUGGCUAGAAAAUCAUAAUAAUUCAAUAAAACCUAGCUGUUAUUAUUUUUCCAAGUCUGUUUAUGAAAAAUCUCAAAGUAUUCUUGUCAUGAGAUGUGGAGAGGCUAACUUGGAA
rnacentral:lncRNA from 10 species